UUGUCAUUCACAAUUUUUUCUGUUUAAUUCAGCAUCUGCAUUCAGAAAUUUCAAUAUUCUAUACUCAAAUUCAGAAACUAAAUGGAGCGAUAAUUGGGGAUAAUUUGAACUAUAUGUUUAUUUGUAUUAGGUUUUGAAUCGAUUGAAACCGCUGUGAUCUAGUUCAUUUCUGUGCUUUUUCUUUCUUUUUCUUAUUUUCAAUUUAAUGUAAGUGGAUGGAGUAUUGUGCUUGUGAUUAGUGUAAGCUACUAGGAUUCUUGAAGUUUGUCGACAAAAAUUAGUUAUUUUAUUAUUAUUAGAUAAUGGUCUCUCUUGCUCUUUUGUUCAUAUGUAUAUAUAUCCAUAUCUAAUGUCCUGGAUCAUUUUGUUUCUGGACAUCUUGUUUAACCUAGGGAACAGAUCUUGCGACACAUAUAGAUUCUUAAUUAAUAAACUUUCUGCUACUUUAAUCCUGCCUAUAUAUUUCCUUAGUCAAAACUUGUGGUUUUUUCAUAAUAGUCUAAUUGUUUCGAUGUUAAACAUAUAGAAUGUUUCACUAUAUGGCAUGAAGUUGGGCCAAGAAACAGAUGUAUAUAUUGUUAUUGAGCUCCAGAUUGGAACAGACACCCCUGUUUUCUCUGAUUUUGCACAGGUAAAUUUGUCAUGAAGCUCCCAACAGUUGGGAUGAAUUGAUAAUUGGUGUAACCACCUAACCGGUCUUAUUGUUCUAACAGAAGUGGCAGAUUGUGCUCGUACAACUUGCAUAUGGGUUUUGGCCUUGCUCUCUGAGAGUGUCAGUAUAAAUUGAAUACAAUGCGGUGGCUGAUUGUGAAUAGAGGCGAUGAUUGUUCCACUAAAAAAGAUUACUCUUGGUUCAUGGCUAUUGAGAAACAUGCUGUUAUAACUGAAGUGGGGGGUUUUGGUGAUCCCCAAUUUGACAAAACAAGAUGUUUGCAAGUAAAGUACUUUUUUCAGCACUGUCAAAUUUAAUACAAUUACAACAGUUUUUGUUAAAAUUGUAUAAUUUUUUUCGGUUUC